UAUUGGACAAUGGGGGAAACCCUGAUCCAGCAAUGCCGCGUGGGUGAUGAAGGCCUUCGGGUUGUAAAGCCCUUUUGGCGGGGACGAUGAUGACGGUACCCGCCGAAUAAGCCCCGGCUAACUUCGUGCCAGCAGCCGCGGUAAUACGAAGGGGGCUAGCGUUGUUCGGAAUUACUGGGCGUAAAGGGCGCGUAGGCGGCUCUGAGAUAGUUGAGUGUGAAAGGCCUGGGCUCAACCCGGGAACUGCACCCAAUACUGCAGGGCUAGAGUGUGGGAGAGGAUAGUGGAAUUCCCAGUGUAGAGGUGAAAUUCGUAGAUAUUGGGAAGAACACCAGUGGCGAAGGCGGCUAUCUGGACCACAACUGACGCUGAGGCGCGAAAGCGUGGGGAGCAAAC
rnacentral:rRNA from 1 species